UCAUCCUAAGGGGCGAACUUUCCCAUGGUACUCACCUAAGGGAUGUGUACAUUUGCUUUCUUCGGUGCUCUUCUCGAGGGGGAGAACUUUCUCUCCCAUGGUGCUCGCCCCAGCAGGCGAGCACUUUAGCUGAUCUCCAUGGUGCUCGCCCUUAUGGGCGAACGCUUUUAUUGUCCUUGGUGCUCUCCUCAAGGGCAAGCCUUUCCCUCUUGUGGUGCUAGCACUUUCUCUUUCACGAUUUUCAUCCACGAUGAAAGGAAAAGUACUUCCAAAGACCGAUUCCCCUUUCUCGGUGCUACUUCACUUCUCAGGGCAAAAUAUGUUAAAAAGUAAAUACUAGCAGAUCCUCAAUCUUCUUCAGCCAAAACAUCCAACCCAGAACGGCAAUGUUAAAGAAUAUUCUAUCAAAAAUAGUAGGGUGGAAAUAAAAAGUCACUAAUAAGAGCAGCAGCAACCUCUAUAACCAUGUACUGGAUGUCUUCUUUUCUACUAACAAAGGGCUUUUGUGGUUCUGUAGAUGCCAAACUCAAAAGACUUUUGUAGAUGUCUUCUUUUCUACUAACAAAGGGCUUUUGUUUUUAU